rnacentral:rRNA from 1 species
CUGACUGCUAUCGGAUUGAUACUAAGCCAUGCGAGUCAUUGUAGUAAUACAAGGCAGACGGCUCAGUAACGCGUAGUCAACCUACCCUAUGGACGGGGAUAACCUCGGGAAACUGAGAAUAAUACCCGAUAGAACAUUAUUCCUGGAAUGGUUUAUGUUUCAAAUAAUUUAUUGCCGUAGGAUGGGACUGCGGCCUAUCAGUUUGUUGGUGAGGUAAUGGCCCACCAAGACUAUUACAGGUACGGGCUCUGAGAGGAGUAGCCCGGAGAUGGGUACUGAGACACGGACCCAGGCCCUAUGGGGCGCAGCAGGCGAGAAAACUUUGCAAUGUGCGAAAGCACGACAAGGUUAAUCCGAGUGGUUUCUGCUAAAGGAACCUUUUGUCAGUCCUAGAAACACUGAUGAAUAAGGGGUGGGCAAGUUCUGGUGUCAGCCGCCGCGGUAAAACCAGCACCUCAAGUGGUCAGGAUGAUUAUUGGGCCUAAAGCAUCCGUAGCCUGCUUUGUUAGUUUUCGGUUAAAUCCAUAUGCUCAACGUAUGGGCUGCCGGGAAUACUGCAAAGCUAGGGAGUGGGAGAGGUAGACGGUACUCGGUAGGAAGGGGUAAAAUCCUUUGAUCUAUUGAUGACCACCUGUGGCGAAGGCGGUCUACCAGAACACGUCCGACGGUGAGGGAUGAAAGCUGGGGGAGCAAACCGGAUUAGAUACCCGGGUAGUCCCAGCUGUAAACUAUGCAAACUCGGUGAUGCAUUGGCUUGAUGCC